rnacentral:misc_RNA from 1 species
GCGAAAAGGAUUUUUCUAAUUAUUAAACAAGCACUACAUAUUCAUGAUCGGUAGGUACUUUAGCUAGUGAUGAUAAAAAACUAGAAAGAAAGAUAUAGAGAAGUGCAAAUUAGGAAUUAAUUAAAGAGGAUGAAAGCGAAACUAGCAAUUUUCUUAGCUCUAUUGCAUAAGUAAGUUCCUAAUUAUGGCAGCCUGGGCAGUGUCUGUAGUUGCCAAUAGCUCAGAGAGCCGCUCGCUAAGAUCAUCAACCUCUCUGUGCAAGCUCCUGAUACAGUUGCAUGUGUCCUGCAAAACCUUGGCAGCUGAAACCUUGUCCGAACGCCUAUUGCCAAUCUCAGGAAGAAGCUGUUGCAACUUACUAACAAGAUCCAGGAUCUGAUCAUCUGUGAUUCUUGAACUCCCUGAUGAUGGUCUU